GUUCCCGGCCCGCGGACGCUUAGAGAGGGGAGCUUCGGAGUUAUGGGGGGACCCACCCUUCCAUUUAAUAACUGAGAAAGCCACGGGAGGGGACUUGCUGGGCUCACAGCCAGUGAUCCCUGCCCUGUUUCCUUAUGGGGACUGCGGUCAGAAAUGGGGAGUGGGGCAGAAACUGUCACUGUCACGGUCCUGUUUAGAGAGGAAGGUCGGAGAAACCAGUGCCGUGGAAGGCUCUGGGGCGUUGACAGGCGCUGUCCCCAGCUCACCGGCUCUAUGACCCUGGAAGAAUGGAAACUUCGUCAGAGCAGGGACGUGAGGGUGAACUGCUCACCCGGGCACCGCUGGCGACCGGAACCCAGCUCCCUCCGGGCUCCGGGAGAGGCGGCCUCAGCUGUGUGCUGGUGCUGCCCUCCAGCGGCGCUGGGUCCCCAUGGCACCUGGCUUUCUCCUGCUCCCCAGGGGCCUUUUCUUCUCCCGCCCACCUGUCACCAGCCGCCAGGGCAAGUCUCUGUGUGACUCUAGGGUGAAGGUGGAGGGACCUUGCCUCCGAGGAUUCAUCCCACCCGGAUUCCGAUGAGUGAGGGACCCUCUCUGGCACCUGGUGUUUGAAUGGCCAGCCUCACAGUUAAUAAAGACAAGUUUGGUAUCA